rnacentral:lncRNA from 1 species
GAGGACGGCUGGAGGCAUCUUCUGGUGGAGACACGGAGGCUGCUUAGGAUCCCGUGGCAUAGAAGGGGAAGUCACAUUGGAAGACCAGCUUUAGUCAUGAAACUUCUGGAACAUUCCAUUAACACCCUCAAGGACAGAGACUACCUGUUCUUUCUGGGCCUCUGGAAGAUCUUCCUGAAAGGUCUCUGCGACAGCCAGGCACAACUGAGAAUUGACGUCAGAGAUCCUUCCUGCGUGCCUGGCAAUAAGCUUGUGCCCCCCCUCACAAGCCCCCACUUUUUAACAUGUUUUAUUUUUGUUUG